UACGAAGGGGGCUAGCGUUGCUCGGAAUUACUGGGCGUAAAGCGCACGUAGGCGGACUUUUAAGUCGGGGGUGAAAUCCUGGAGCUCAACUCCAGAACUGCCUUUGAUACUGAAAACCUUGAGUUCGGGAGAGGUGAGUGGAACUCCUAGUGUAGAGGUGAAAUUCGUAGAUAUUAGGAAGAACACCAGUGGCGAAGGCGGCUCACUGGCCCGAUACUGACGCUGAGGUGCGAAAGCGUGGGGAGCAAACAGG
rnacentral:rRNA from 1 species